rnacentral:rRNA from 1 species
GAUUAACGCUAGCGGCAGGCAUAAUACAUGCAAGUUGAACGGCAGCACAGGUAGCAAUACUGGGUGGCGAGUGGCGCACGGGUGCGUAACACGUAUGCAACCUACCCUAUACAGGCGAAUAACCUUUAGAAAUGAGGGCUAAUACGCCGUAGUAUUACAGAUGGGCAUCUAUUUGUAAUUAAAGAUUUAUCGGUAUAGGAUGGGCAUGCGUCCCAUUAGUUAGUUGGUAAGGUAACGGCUUACCAAGACGAUGAUGGGUAGGGGAUCUGAGAGGACUUACCCCCACACUGGUACUGAGACACGGACCAGACGCCUACGGGAGGCAGCAGUAAGGAAUAUUGGGCAAUGGCCGCGAGGCUGACCCAGCCAUGCCGCGUGCAGGAAGACGGCCUUAUGGGUUGUAAACUGCUUUUAUACGGGAAUAAUAGAGUGUACGCGUACAUUUAUGCAAGUAUCGUAUGAAUAAGCAUCGGCUAACUCCGUG